GACAACGCUAAACUAAGCGAGACAGUUAGCCUGGUCCCGAGCAGACUUGUUCGGAGGUACAAGUUACCAUGGCAACUCAGCGGGGAUUCAUUUAAGACACGUUGAUGGAACGGAAGACAGACUUUCCCUUAAUCCUGCUUCAUGGAAUACCCCCCAGUUAUCCACAAGACACAAAGGCUAGAUAUAUUUAAAAAAUAUAAGGUAGCCCGCAUUUUGUGUCUAGUGUGUCCUGAGACAGGCUGCAGAUUUACCCUUUGCAGGAUAAGCAGUUAUGGAAGUUAGUACCAGUGGAAGCCCGUGUGGUGCCCUAGGCAAGCUUCAGCGCCGGCGCCCCCUGUCUGAGACAAAGUGAAAUUGGCUCGCUAAAGAGGCGCUCCCUCAGAAGGUGCCGUACUAUGCAGUGGAAAAGCGCCAUUAGGUGGCUGCCUAUGUUGCCUGAUGGGUUGACCAACACUGCUUACAAUAUCCAUGAACCCUUAAGCUUGGGGCACCAUAAAGGGGGGAAAGUUAGAACAAUUCCAAGGGCUCCUAUCUUAAAAAAAUUGAACCAUAAUUGGAUUCGUCUGGGUUAGGGGCCCAAAAUCUCUAGCAGCACCCCUGCUUAGAGUCAAUAAUUCCUGCCUGCCAGAUCCUACUGUGUAACUCUCCCUCCAUCUGAUUUUAUUUUAUAUCAUUUUAGUCUUGAAAGACCUGGUCUCUUUGUCUCCUUCAUCCAGACAGAAUGCUUCCUCUCACAAUCAAAACAUCCUCCUUCCUUUCCUCUGUUCCACUGAUGUAUCCUCCAGUCAGUUCUCACCAAAGAAUGCAAAUGUGAAUUGAUGGUUUGUAUUUUGGCCGCCUGGAGUUUUCUUUUAAAUGUGAUUCUUGGUUUGCUGCUUUUUUUUUUUUUUACCACUGUGUUGUCCACUAUAGCGUUAGGUCUCACAUGUGCAGUGUCUUGGGACUGGUCACUGUUGACUAUAUAACUGUGGAUCACUUGAUUAAACUGAAGCAUGUGAUACUUGUGAAAUGGAAAUAUGCACUGCUAAUGAUAUCAAGCUGCAUCUGGAUGAACACAAAGACUCCUUUAGUACAUUACUUGCUUAAACCCUUUGUUAAUAUAACAAACCCUUUAUCACAAGGGUCUGUUCACAAGUCAAGAUCUCUAGUCAAAUCUUCCAAUUCUUUUAAAAAAAAAACUUUUAAAAAAGUGCAGUUCUUACAACUACAAGUGAAGUUGGCCUGACCGUACAUGGUUUUGAUUCUAUCACCUAGAUGUCAUAGCCUUAGUACUGCAGCUACUCCUUAAAUGUUUGGCAACUGAACUUUUCAUUCAGUAACAAGAACGAAAUACUAAACUAAGCCAUAGCUUCAGAAUAAUAAGGUGAAUAUCUGAACUGUCUGUCUUAUUCUGGUGUAUGGCUCAGUGGGUUGGGAUACUGUGCUCAUGAUCACAAGGUUGCUGGUUCAAAUCCCAGGGUCAGCAGUGUAAUUUUACCAGUGGGCCCUUGAGCAGAGCCCUUAACCACAAAUUUCUCUAGGGACUGGCUGACCCUGCAGAUGUCAGGUGCUUUGGAUAGGAAGUAUCUGCUAAAUAAAUUAAAUGCAUGUGUCUUUUUUAAAGCCUCACUGUCACCUUUUGCCUAUAGUUUUAUAAGAGCAAUAUGUCAACCCUGGCAUGUGAUUUUUCUAGUGGAACAAACUCAAGGCUCUGGAAGCCCAUUAUGUUGCAAUUCUAUAAAUUAGGUCUGGGAUGGAACUCAACUGGUACUCUGCAUGACUUUUCCAACCUGGUUGAAGAGUGGACUGAGAAAUAUCUGAUUAGAAACAUAAGACUGAUGAUGUUUACCGAACACUGGGAGCUGGAGUCUUUUCCAGCUCUGGAAGCCAAAGAACUGGGAGCAAUGGCCAAGGAAGAGGGAGCAAAACCAGCACCUUCAGCAUAUGGCAAUUCCCUCAACCAACCACGCCCAUUGCCUGUCCUUUGCAAACUCGACCAAGCAUAGAUCACAUAACAAGCAGCACAUUACCGAAAUCUUGACAAGGAUAGAAAAUCUCAAAAUCAUCAUCAGCACAGAGGACUUUUCUGAGAUUUACAGUCCUUUUUUAAUAAGUCGUUGUAUUUCAGUUACUGACUCCUUUGCAGAUCUUUCCCAUCUCUGUUUGGAAAGGUGUGUGCAGUGUGUGUGUGUGUGUGUGUGUGUGUGUGUAGUAUUUGUUUGUGUGAGAGCUCUUUGUAUAUUUGGAUAAGUUUUCCAGUUGCUCCUUUAAAAAAUAUUACCAGAUGUUUUUCCUUG